UACGAAGGGGGCUAGCGUUGUUCGGAAUCACUGGGCGUAAAGCGCACGUAGGCGGAUUGUUAAGUCAGGGGUGAAAUCCUGGAGCUCAACUCCAGAACUGCCUUUGAUACUGAGGAUCUUGAGUUCGGGAGAGGUGAGUGGAACUGCGAGUGUAGAGGUGAAAUUCGUAGAUAUUCGCAAGAACACCAGUGGCGAAGGCGUCUCACUGGCCCGAUACUGACGCUGAGGCACGAAAGCGUG
rnacentral:rRNA from 1 species